UCCGAGUUGACCCCGGCAGUCUCCUACGAGUCCCCGCCAUUACGUGCUGGCAACUAAGGACAGGGGUUGCGCUCGUUGCGGCACUUAACCCAACAUCUCACGACACGAGCUGACGACAGCCAUGCAGCAUCUGUGGCGCACCCUCGAAGGUCACACGUUUCCGUGCGCUUGCAGCGCCAUGUCAAGCCCAGGUAAGGUUCUUCGCGUUGCAUCGAAUUAAAGAACAUGCUCCGCUGCUUGUGCGGGCCCCCGUCAAUUCCUUUGAGUUUCAGCCUUGCGGCCGUAGUCCCCAGGCGGUUCACUUAAUGCGUUAGCUGCGGCACCGAGGGGAACCCCCCAACACCUAGUGAACAUCGUUUAUGGCUAAGACUAC
rnacentral:misc_RNA from 1 species